rnacentral:lncRNA from 1 species
GCAACACGGCCUCCAGGUCUUUGGGGAAAACAAGUUCAGUGAAGUAGUCUGGGUUGAAGAAGCAUCUUGCAGUCUACUGAGUAUGCAGAGCUGAGGAAUAGAUGGACUCCAAGAAUCUAAACCACUUUUCAAUAAAUGUAUCUUGGCUGGGAUGCAAAGGAGUGCUGAGAACUCAACAGCCUGACCAAUGAUUAGGAAUAAUUGGAAGCAGGUGGAGCUGAGGCCAGCUCACCCAACCUGGCCU